UACGAAGGGGGCUAGCGUUGCUCGGAAUCACUGGGCGUAAAGCGCACGUAGGCGGCUUUCUAAGUCAGGGGUGAAAUCCUGGAGCUCAACUCCAGAACUGCCUUUGAUACUGGAGAGCUUGAGUCCGGGAGAGGUGAGUGGAACUCCGAGUGUAGAGGUGAAAUUCGUAGAUAUUCGGAAGAACACCAGUGGCGAAGGCGGUUGCCUGGAGCUUUGCUGACGCUGAGGCGCGAAAGCGUGGGGAGCGAUCCGG
rnacentral:rRNA from 1 species